UGGAAUAUGAAUGCAAAAUUACGAGUUAAAGCACCGCCACCAACGGUAAUUAAAAUCGCCAAUGCCCAGCCCUAGUUUCCUACUUGUACAGCUCCGCAUUACUGCCUAUGACAAGCGAUAAAAUUUAGCCGCCAAUUAUUUCAAAACAACAAUUAUUUGGCGGUGCAGUAUAAAAAGAAUUGGCGGUAUAAAUUGGUGAUGUUAGAAAGUUUAGAAUUAUAGGUUUACUUUAAAAUUACAGUAAGUUUGGUGUUUAGUUUAAUCGGUGAUAUUAUUCGGAUAAGGAUUUUUAAAAGAUUAAACGGCAAUUAAAUACGGAAAUGGACGGACGAAAGUUAUUUGGCUCGUAUUGGCGCAAAAGAAAACUGGAAAAACAGCAAAAGGAAAAGAAAGCUUUAGAAAACACUCUUAAACUCACAAGUUUUUUUACACGGGGUAACACAGACGUAGACGAGAGCAGAAGUAUAUGCGAACCUCAACCUGGACCAAGUACGAGCACUAGCCUUGCAAUUGAGAUGAAUACCCAAGAGACCGGUCUUGAGAUGGAGCCACAGGAAAGUUUUUUGCAAAAUAAUACAGUUGGUGAUAGUAUUAUAGUUAGCUGUCAAGUGGCUGUUCGUUUGCUGAGUUGCAGUAUGGUGAUAAAAUUAGAAAGUCUACAUUGUUGGGUGCAAUUCAACAAGUGUGCAAGGUGAUAUGGGAGAAGCUAAAAGCAGUUGUCAUGAACGCACCGAGUAAAGAAAAAUGGAUACAAACAGAUGAAGCAGUUGAACAAAAAGAUUAUUUUCUUAACUGCAUCGGUGCAUUGGACGGAAAGCACAUUCGAUAAAUUCAGCCUCCAAACUCCGGAUCUAUGUACUAUUUUUUUUCUUUGGUGCUAAUGGCUUUAUGUGACGCUAACUACUACUUUAUAUGGGGUCGACGUUGGAGCUUAUGGUAAAGAUAGUGACUGAGGAAUUUUCAAAGGAAGCACCUUAUACAAACAACUCACUGAAAAGUCAUUAUAUAUUGCUGAACCCAAAUCGAUAACAAAUCACUGCGCUAAUAAGUUACCAUAUGUAAUAUUGGCCCAUGAAGCUUUUGCCAUGAUGGAAAAUUUAAUGAUGCCGCAUGGUGGUAAAAUGCUGCCACACGCAAAAAAAAUAUAUAAUUACCGUCUAUCGUAAGCUCGAAGAUAUGUUGAAUACACGUUUGGAAUUAUGUACAACAAUUCGCGAAUUUUGCACCGACCCAUUGCUGAAAACAUUGUUAAAGCUAUUUGUAUAUUGCACAUCUUUGUCAGAAUUAAAGAUGGUAUCACACACGUGGAUACAGUUUAUGCUGCACCAUUGUUGAAUAUGAAUAGAUCACAUACUGGGCGCGCAGUUCGAGACGCAGAUAAAGUUCCAACUGCAUUUACAGAUUACUUUGUAAAUGAUGGAAAGCUAGACUGGCAGGAUGACAUGAUCUAAACAAUAUUGUUUUUGUAUUAAUACUUAAAGUAAACAUAAAUAAAUGUUCUCAUUAUCAUUGCAAAAGAUCAAAACUAGUUGCUCCCAAGCCCGUUUCUGCAGUAUUUUAUUAGAAUAUUCCUUCGAAUUCAAGUUCAAUAUGGCUGAUCUUUUUUCUACUUAAUCGAUAAACAAGUCCACCAACCAUUUU
rnacentral:lncRNA from 1 species